GUCCUUGUAGCUUACAACAAAGCAUGGCACUGAAGAUGCCAAGACGGCUGCCACCUGCACCCAAGGACA
rnacentral:tRNA from 1 species